CCUACGGGGGGCUGCAGUGAGGAAUAUUGGUCAAUGGACGAGAGUCUGAACCAGCCAAGUAGCGUGAAGGAUGACUGCCCUAUGGGUUGUAAACUUCUUUUAUAUGGGAAUAAAAUGUUCCACGUUUGGGAUUUUGUAUGUACCAUAUGAAUAAGGAUCGGCUAACUCCGUGCUAGCAGCCGCGGUAAUACGGAGGAUCCGAGCGUUAUCCGGAUUUUUUGGGGUUAAAGGGAUCGUAGGUGGAUUGUUAAGUCAGUUGUGAAAGGUUGCGGCUCAACCGUAAAAUUGCAGUUGAAACUGGCAGUCUGGAGUACAGUAGAGGUGAGCGGAAUGCGUGGUGUAGCGGUGAAAUGCUUAGAUAUCACGAAGAACACCGAUUGCGAAGGCAGCUCACUGGACUGCAACUGACACUGAGGCUCGAAAGUGUGGGUAUCAAACAGGAUUAGAUACCCGAGUAGUC
rnacentral:rRNA from 1 species